GUCAGGAUGGCCGAGUGGUCUAAGGCGCUGCGUUCAGGUCGCAGUCUACUCUGGCGUGGGUUCGAAUCCCACUUCUGACA
rnacentral:tRNA from 1 species